rnacentral:rRNA from 1 species
AUUGCUCUAGUAACGGCGAGUGAAGCAGCAAUAGCUCAAAUUUGAAAUCUGGCGUCUUCGGCGUCCGAGUUGUAAUUUGUAGAGGAUGCUUCUGAGUAACCACCGACCUAAGUUCCUUGGAACAGGACGUCAUAGAGGGUGAGAAUCCCGUAUGCGGUCGGAAAGGUGCUCUACACGUAGCUCCUUCGACGAGUCGAGUUGUUUGGGAAUGCAGCUCUAAAUGGGAGGUAAAUUUCUUCUAAAGCUAAAUAUUGGCCAGAGACCGAUAGCGCACAAGUAGAGUGAUCGAAAGAUGAAAAGCACUUUGGAAAGAGAGUUAAAAAGCACGUGAAAUUGUUAAAAGGGAAGGGAUUGCAACCAGACUUGCUCGCGGUGUUCCGCCGGUCUUCUGACCGGUCUACUCGCCGCGUUGCAGGCCAGCAUCGUCUGGUGCCGCUGGAUAAGACUUGAGGAAUGUAGCUCCCUCGGGAGUGUUAUAGCCUCUUGUGAUGCAGCGAGCGCCGGGCGAGGUCCGCGCUUCGGCUAGGAUGCUGGCGUAAUGGUCGUAAUCCGCCCGUCUUGAAACACGGACCAAGGAGUCUAACAUCUAUGCGAGUGUUCGGGUGUCAAACCCCUACGCGUAAUGAAAGUGAACGGAGGUGAGAACCGCAAGGUGCAUCAUCGACCGAUCCUGAUGUCUUCGGAUGGAUUUGAGUAUGAGCAUAGCUGUUGGGACCCGAAAGAUGGUGAACUAUGCCUGAAUAGGGUGAAGCCAGAGGAAACUCUGGUGGGGGCUCGCAGCGGUUCUGACGUGCAAAUCGAUCGUCAAAUUUGGGUAUAGGGGCGAAAGACUAAUCGAAC